UUGGGAAUAACUCAUCGAAAGGUGGGCUAAUACCGAAUAAUACUGCAUAGCUACUGCUGUGUAGUCAAAGAUGGCCUCUGCUUGCAAGCUAUUGCUGAAGGAUGAGUCCGCGUACCAUUAGCUAGUUGGUAGGGUAAUGGCCUACCAAGGCAACGAUGGUUAGCUGGUCUGAGAGGAUGAUCAGCCACACUGGAACUGAGACACGGUCCAGACUCCUACGGGAGGCAGCAGUGAGGAAUAUUGCGCAAUGGGGGCAACCCUGACGCAGCAACGCCGCGUGAGUGAGGAAGGUUUUCGGACCGUAAAGCUCUGUCGAGCGGGAAGAAAUGCAUAGUGGCUAAUAUCCAUUAUGUUUGACGGUACCGCUAAAGGAAGCACCGGCUAACUCCGUGCCAGCAGCCGCGGUAAUACGGGGGGUGCUAGCGUUGUUCGGAAUCAUUGGGCGUAAAGAGCGUG
rnacentral:rRNA from 1 species